rnacentral:ncRNA from 1 species
CUCUGUUCCCCAAGGGUUCAGGGCAAUAAGGAG